UUAGUUCAUCAUGUUAUCAUCAAAUGUAUGUGUUGAUCGGAGAUUAAUUAUGAAAAAAUUUGCUUACUUAUAACCAAAUGAUAGAAACCCAAUUUAAGUCUUUUCAAUGUAAUGUGUUUUGUUAUACAGUUGAAAAUAUUGGUCCUUUGGUCAAGACGCUCAAUCCAAGAAUUGGGUUUUAAUUAGAGCAAUAAAUGUAUUGAGUUUACUUGAGUCUUAAUAUCCUCAAGAUUUCAUGUUUAAUUAGCCUUUGUGUUACGCAGUUAACAUAAUUUCAAUGGCUAUUACUUGUUGAAGUCCAAUUCAAUUAAUGAAGUACACAUGAAUUGAUGAGACAUUCAUUUGCAGACAUGUAAUAUAACCAUUGAUUUGGGCAAACAGACCUUUUCCAAUGAUGAUCAAUAUCAUCUAGAUGAUUACAAUGAAUGAUUCUAGUUUACCAUGUGGACUCAUCAGGGGAUAAAAAAUAGUUUUUAACAAGAUUACAUUCCCAUGUUAAUUGGUAACAAUUGUAUCGUUAACAUUUCAACCUUUGGCUUCAAUAAAUUUUGUCAAUUGACAAUCAAUAAGACAAGCAUGAGAGUUCAGUGAAAAAAGCUCAAGUUUUAACCAAUGUCAAUGAUAGAAAAUCAGAAGAGGAGAGAACAAAAGACUUUUCUAAUGACCUGAAUAAUCAUCGUAUCCAGCCAAUUAUAAGCUGGAAAUGUUAGACAUUUACAAAACCGCCAUUUUCACCGUUUUAUCAUCGGUUAAAAAAUUAGCUUCAAUAGAUAACAAUCAACAUUUUCUGGAACCGAGUCUAUUCCUAAGGUGACCAAUUCGCAAAGAAAGGAGCGAUUACGACUUGAUAUUUGGUGAAAGAAUUUUAAAUCAAAGGAACGUUUAAUCGGAUAUUGAUGAGGUCCAGAUUAUUGCGGCAUUUGAGACAAUGAUGGUUUAUAACACAAUACACUAACCGAGAUAAACUCUCAGCAGGGUUAUUCUGAGAUGAGAUUAGAUGGUUCUAAACGGAACAACAUAAUGAGAUUGGAAUCCUUAUUUUGGAAGGAAUAAUGAGUUGAAUAAAAAAGAGGAAGAAGAUGAACAAAAUGAACAAAAACAACAAGGAAAAAGACAGACUCAAGAUAAUGAAAGGCUAUUUCUUAAAGAAGAGUCAAGUGACCAAUAAGACUGGCCAUUUAUUGUUGCCAUCUGAAUUUGUUCCCGGGUUGAAUUAAAUUAGCUCCUUUAUUCAGGACAAUUGAGCUUUCACCAAUAAACUUAAAUGUCAAGACAAAAUCACUUGAGAAAUCACUGGAAAUCAAUUUAACAAACCAACCUGAUUAUGUGUGUAUCAUCUUACAACAAUGCAGAAAACCUGAAGGAUUUACCAUGGGGAAUGGUAUUACUCUAUUAACAUUGUUAUUUACAUCAGCAACAAUCUCUGUCCAAUCGUCACCAUCUAUAUCCUUACUAAACGAUCCAUGAAUUUCAACAAUUUCAUCCAUAUGGAUAACGAAAGAUUUACCUAAUUCUUACACCAAUACGUAUUGUGCUCUUAACCUCGGAAUAACCCUGUGAAAUCAAAUGUUCAAUUGAAGGUCAAUUAACUGAGCAUUUCCAUUUUCUUCAACCUUUUUACCUUCCCUCAACUCUUUCAUCUCAUUCAGCAUAUCAUGCAAACUUGUCGUUGCCUUGACAGUUAUUAUUCUAAAAUCCUAUUAAUUAUCUAGUGAUCGAACUACACUUGAUUUGAAUAUUCCUUUUACCUUUUAUUUCCCUUCUGUAUACAUUCAUCUCUGUCUCAAGUCUAGUUUAACAAUGAAAAAACGUCAGAAAUGACCAGAAUCUAUCACUAAGGUAACCGAUGAAACUGGUUAGUAAUAAAUAGACCUUAUUGUUAAAAUGAUAUUGAGAUAGAGAAUUAUUAUUUUUAUCUCUUCAUAUUGUUGUGAUAAAAACUGUUCAAAAAAAGACGAAUAAGUACUAGGAGGAGAAGAAGAAUAGGAAUUGCGAGAAUAACAUUCUCUUUUGAUGCUAUUGAUAUUGAUUAAGAACAUAUUAGCAGUUGGAUCCAGGGCGUUCCAAAGAAGAGGGAAAAAAACUUGUGAAACAUUUUAUUCGAUUGGAUCGUUAAGAAGAGAACCAAGAUGAGGAUAAAUCAUCAGAAUCAUGGACAGAAACAGAAAACUCAAGACAAAAUAUCAGUUAAUUUGAUAACAAUUGAUUCACUUAUCUUUUGGCCAUCUCUGAAUCAGCUAUUAACCAUGUAUAAGUUAAAAGUACAGAUUGAUCAUUGGAAACAGCUUAAUGUAUCCCAGGAUAAAGAAGAAUCAAAAUUUGGCCUCUUUUCCUUCUCUGAUCAACCCAUCACUCGCAGGCCAACUAAAGAAUGACCAACGGAAGGAAACGCAAAUAGAUAACAUGGAUGGUUAAACCAGGAUGGAAACGAGAAAAGAGAUCAUUGAUUUGAUAAAGUGGAUUGCAACAAAAGAAUUGGAUUAAAUACUUAUAUUGUAUCUAAAUCCAUUUGAUGUUAAUCAAAUGUUGAAUAGUUGAAAUACAUAAUGAUACAAUAAUGGAUACAAAAUUUUGACCAUUCAUGGAUCCAAACGUUUCCAAUCAAUUACAAGAAAAGAGGAUAAAAUGGUUUGUCCAGUUGAUCAAUGAAUGUCAGUGUUGAACAUUUUUCUUCAACUUUUCCUAUCCUGAAUCUUGUUGAAAUUGGUAGAUUAAAACAUUCACUUACCGUUGAAGAUAUGCUGUUAGAUUGAAAAACACUAAAAAAGCUGCUACAUUUUAAUGUUAGAGUUGGUACUUUUAAAAUUGAAUAGGAAAGUGAAAAAAAUGAUUUCUUCCUAUGAUCGAUUGAAAGUGUAUGUGUGUGAAUCUUAGCUGCUUUUUUCAUUUCUAUCUUCAUCUUCUUUGUCAUUUUCUGCUUCUUCAUCUUCGUCGUUUUCUUCUGAUUAAAUGCAACCAGCAAAUACUAGGAAAUUUGAAACAGUUUCAGAAGACCUGACAACUUUUAAUGCAACUAAUGUUUCCAAAGCUCCCAUUGUGUGAACAAUUUCUUGUUGUUCAUCAUUUAAUUUGAUUGGGACGUUUGCUGUUUUUUUUUUCUUCUUUUCAAUUUUCUCAUUCCUUGCAACUUUCACGAUGAUGAUGGUGAGGAUGAUAAAAAAAGAAGAAGAGAAAAGUGAAAAGUGAAAGCUAAAGAUACGAUUGAAUAGGAUGUUGAGUAGAAGAUGAAGACGAAGUAGAAGGAAAAAAGGCUGCAACGAUGAGAAUGAAAAGAGAGGCCUAGAAGAAGAUAAAGAAAGAGAUGAUAAUGAUGAAGAUUGAGAGGAAAAAGAUGAGAAAUGGUAAAGUAAAAAGACCAAAAGAUGAGCAUAAGUUAGAUGAAUCUCAAGCAAGCCAAGGGAUAAGAGAUAAUCAUUGAAAUGGAUUUGAUUCGAACUGAUUGUCCAACUAAAUCUUGAAUUUCAUCUUUUCCUGAUUGAAAGUCGGAUAAACAUUUCAACGUAUUGUAUUUACUAAACAAAAUUGACUGUUGUUGAAGGAUCCAACGUUAUAAUCAACUCGACAAUUAAUGGACAAUUAUUUUCCAAUUGGUUCCUCCAUUAACUGCUGGUCAAGAGUUAUUUCAUCUUUACUCGUACAAGAACCAGUGUCAAUGGAAAGUUGAGAUUACUAUUGGAUUCCUCAUUUCAGUCAGAGACAAUUGUCAAUCCUAUUAAUAGAUGGUUAACAAUCAACAAUAAAAACUUCACCAAAGGAACCAAAGGAAAAACGAAGAAAGAAUGAAAAAAAGACAAGGAAAAAAGGCAAAGAAAGCAAACGAGAAGAUGAAAUUAUCUUCCAUCAAUACUCAUAAUAAUAAUGAAAAUAAUAAUGUUGGUUCUUUAUAUUUCACUAUUUUUUUAUUAUUUAUCUCAAAAUAAUCUUUUGAUGACUUUUAUUACAUAUUUUUGGAUGUUACCAUUUCCUAGAAAGGUCAAUUGUACUUGGAACCAGUCCAAAUUGUUGUCCAAUCAUCAGCAAAAACUAAUAUAAAUUGUCAUAGCUGAUAUUACAAAAUUGUUGUAGUUGUAAGAUGUAGACACAUAUAACCAAAAGGAAGGGCCAUAUUUCAAUGCGACUUUUUGUUGUGGUAAAAACACAAAAAGAUGUUGAGAUAUGACAAGUUUCAUGUUGAUUUUAAUUUCAUUGGCUUUUGCAGAUUCUUAUUGAAUGUCACUCAACUUGAAAGAUGUUUGUUUAUCAUUAUUUGCCAUAACAAACUUAAAUUCAUCUUUUUUUAUUAUGAAUUUACUUUGACAGCAAGACAUCAUCUUUCUGACCUACAAAAUGACAUCUUUCUGAGCUUUAAUUUGUUUGAAAUAAAACAAACUCAAAAAGAUUCAAAUAAGUCUACCAAUGAAACCAAUCCAAAUUGGACACAAUCAAGAAAAUGUGAUUAAAUUGUCGCCAAACUCGGAGCAAAUACUGAAGGGCAAAUAUUACAGGUUUAUUGUAAUAUAAAUCAAUGUAUCAACACUUUUCUUUUGCCAAUUUGGUUUCUUUACUUGAACAUAAAUGUUUAACCAAAUUGUUUCUUUUGCCUUUUUCUUAUAAUGAUUCCAUCAAUGUAUUGAAAAGAUUGAAAUUCAGCCGUGAACCUUUUCAACUGGUCACACAAUCAGGAUGAUGAUGAUUAUGGGCAAAUAUUUUUCAUCUAAAAUGAAAUGGAAACUUAUUUUCAGGACAAAAAUACUGUUAUACACACCAACAUCAUGAAAGGCAAACAUAAUUCAAAUGGCUUCAAGGCUUCCUUGACUUAAAUCUCAAUUGAAUCAAUUGCUUUUCCCUUUUCGCCUUUUAACUUCACCGAAUCCUUAAGAGUUGCAAUUUCAAGCUCAAUUCAAGAGUACUCUGGUUAAAUUGAUAAUCUGGAAAAAUUGUUGAGAGAUCCAAAGGAAAAAAGAAAAAGGAAAAACCUGGAAAAAUAUGAAAAAAUGUAUCUUUGUGCUCGUCAGGCACAAGCUAAUGGUCUGCCAGUGUUAAUGUCAUUUGGUCAAUUGGAGGAAGGGAAAAAAAGUUAAACCUUCAACCUGAUCUAAUUUAAUCAACUUUGCUUCCAAUGUUACCUUCAACCUUUUCCUAAUUGUACAACUUGAUAUUAUUUGUUAUUAUAUCAGAUGAUAAUCUGUUUAAAUAAAUAGUAUAAAUUGAUUGGUAUAUUGAUACACUAAAUAAAUAUGUUAACAAGCAGUGAA